rnacentral:lncRNA from 1 species
GCUGAUUAGGUAUAAUUUGAAAUCUUUGAUAUCACUGAUUGUUAUAUGAAUUGUCUUUGAUGGAUUAAAUAAUGAAAAUAACAUUUUUCUCAAAUAAAAUAGUCAGCUUGGAUGGGUAAAAACACUGAUGUACAAAUUGUUAGGCAUGAAAGGGAAAUUAUUUUCGCAGCUUGGCUUCUUUGAUCUCAAGUGUGUUUUGACAAAUUUGUUAUAUAUGGAAGUGGAUUAUGGAACCGGUGCAUUAUUCCAUAAACUAUGGAAGUGUACAUGUGAAAAAAUCGUAAAUAUCCGGCGAUAUUGUAGACUGACUUCAACAUAUUCAAUUAAAUAUACACAACACAACACUAUAAUAAAAAAUAUAAAUCAGGGCGAACAUACCCAGGGCAAACGGUCUCAGGGCGAAACGGAACUAGGGUGAACAGUAACUAGGGCGAACAAAAAUCAGGGGGGACGGACCCGGAUUCCAGUUGUCUCAUUGGCAAUCAUACCACAUCUUCUUUUUUAUAAUGACUGCUGAUCACCACUGUGUCCAUACUGGGACUAUUAUGGUCCAACAACCAGUGGCGGAUCCAGAAAUUUUCAUAAGUGCAGGCCCACAAAAUUUCCCAGAAAAGGAUGGCAAGCCCCCUGGCCCC